GACGGGGGAUGCAAGUGUUAUCCGGAAUCACUGGGCGUAAAGCGUCUGUAGGUGGUCAAAUAAGUCAACUGUUAAAUCUUGAGGCUCAACCUCAAAAUCGCAGUCGAAACUAUUAGACUAGAGUAUAGUAGGGUAAAGGGAAUUUCCAGUGGAGCGGUGAAAUGCGUAGAUAUUGGAAAGAACACCGAUGGCGAAGGCACUUUACUGGGCUAUUACUAACACUCAGAGACGAAAGCUAGGGUAGCAAAUGGG
rnacentral:rRNA from 1 species